rnacentral:rRNA from 1 species
UACAGAGGUCUCAAGCGUUGUUCGGAUUCAUUGGGCGUAAAGGGUGCGUAGGCGGCGCGGUGAAGUCGGGUGUGAAAUCUCGGAGCUUAACUCCGAAACUGCAUUCGAUACUGCCGUGCUUGAGGACUGGAGAGGAGACUGGAAUUUACGGUGUAGCGGUGAAAUGCGUAGAUAUCGUAAGGAAGACCAGUGGCGAAGGCGGGUCUCUGGACAGUUCCUGACGCUGAGGCACGAAGGUCAGGGGAGCAAACGGG